CAAUCGACUCUCCCCUCUUCCCGCCAAUCAUCAUAAUUCACAGAAAGCACGAGGCAGCCGCGAGAGAAGAAGACGACACAAACAGCGAUCACAACAGUUUUAAUUUGCUUUAAAUAAUAAAUAUUAUGGCCAAUGAGUUCGUGAAGAGUAGUUUACAGAGGAAAAUGUAUCGUUUUGGUCAGGUUUUAUGGCAACCCCAUCCAUUUUGAGAGGAAGAGUUAUUCAGUUCACGGAUGUUUUAUUGAUGUCGAGCCACCCAACUAAGCCUGAAGAUACUUCACAUAGGCAAAAGAAGAUUCAUUGCUCCGGAAUAAAAGACUGAAUCUCAAGACCUGUGCUGAGGAUGCUCUACAGGGGUUCAGUUGGCAUUUGUAGGAAUGGUGAGCAGGCUUCCAGACAAAGCUCCAAAAACAAAGAAGGGUCCAUCUGGGAUAGCACUGCUCAAGACGGCACAUCCUCUAGAAUCCUGCACCUUUAAACACAAAGGCUCCUUGUAUCUCCCUGUAAGCCAAUAAGGAGUGUUGGGUGGCCUCCCUGACACUGUCGGCUUUUUCCAGAUGCUCACUGUGGCAAAAGAUCUCCUCAAAGAGAAGGGAAGGGGGGAGACAAAGACAACAGAAAGAGAAUCUGAAAGGCUGGGAGGAUUAUGACAGACCCUCAUGGGAUGAUGGGACUGCCUCUCAUCUCACAGGUAGCAGCUAAAUCGCUUUAAGUCUGCACUGCUCGUGCCAAAAACACAACAACUGGCUGAAGGAUUGCCAGCGUUUACGCCUACACACCUGGUGCUCUGCCAGAGAAGGGGACUAUUAGCCAGACCGACCUUUAAAAGAAUCAGCUCUCUUUAUAUUGUUUUUUUGAAAACAUCCAUUAUUUAAGCAAUUUGCCCGAGUUUUUAGACGCAGACUAAAGUCAACAAUGAGUGGCGGCACUUUUCAGUAUCCUGCAAGCAUUCUAGUGUGAAUUAACCAGUAUAAUUCUUCAUGACACUUAAAAAUAACUCUCAUUUACUAAAAUUGAUGUGUUUGAUAUGCAGAUAAUAAAGAACUUUAAUAGUAGUUUGGAAAGUAAACACAGCUGCAGUAGCUCGCAAACCCAUUUAUUUUUAGCUUUUGCCAUGCACGAUAGCUAAAGGGUACCAGAAGGAUGUAUAUCAGAUUUUGUUCCUCUCUGUCAGGAAGGUUUUUUAUUUAUUUUUUAAAAAAAGGUUACAUUUCAGGAUGCUAUGAGAUUACUGAAAGUUGCCCAUAACCGUCCUUUCCAGAAAUGUGCUGAGCAGUGUGGAGAAGAAUUUUAGAUAGAGGUAGGAAGCAUUCAUGUGCUUCUGUGUUGUGGGGGUAGGCCAGAGCAUAAUACCAGAAGCUCCCCUUUUAUCCCCCUUCAAACUUUCCCUUUCCAACCCCAGACCAGACCAUUUUUACUAUGUAAUUUCUGACCCAGUCUGUUUCCAUAUUGCUAACCACAGCAUUCCAUAAACAUGAUGGAAUCUUUGUUUCAGGCAGUUUAAAAAGAGAUUUUCCCCAUUUUUGACACAAUUUCCCGAAGGCCUACAAGGAUAUGGAACAUUACUCAUGAGUCGUGCAGCGAGCGAGUGAGAAAAUGUCUUGCGUUAACAAUAGAUGGUUAAACUAAUGGGACAUUAAUAAGUUGAGAAGAGGGUCAGGCUCCUAGUCCCGUUAUGAACCUGUUGACCUUGAGCAUUAUUAGCACUAAUUAAGUCCUUUAAAAUAUCAGCCGCCUCUGCUCUUUCCUCUUCCAGGCCGGAGGAUUUUGUCACUGUUCUGAAUCAGCUUUAUUUUAUUAACCGUAAAAUGAACUUCAUCAAGGACGAAAGGAGAAAGUGAUACAUGAUCGCCGCUAAUGACCAAAAUGUCCCCAAACGCUCUGAACUGGAUACAAUAACUUCAGUCACUUUGCGAAGGUACUGUACAAAGACUUCCAUCUGCGCCCGGCAUGAGAUUAUAUUUAUUCAUUAAUCAGUUACAGCUAUUUCAUUCAUAUAAUGUGUACAUUCUCCACCUCUUCAACUCCACUUCUUAAUAGACCUCUGUUUUCAGAGGAAAUUCUCUUAAAAGUUUAUCAUUUAUUACGCUGAAACCCUUUUCAAAUAAAGCUAAAAUCAGACUUAUCUAUUGUGAUGAUUGGCUUUCAGCCUAAGAUCUUGCAUAAAGAGAGAGACAGAGAGAGAUUGAGGUAAAACACUGGCCAGUGGACCUGAUUCUAGAAGCCUGGCUCAAGCCAAAGAUAAGUGAGUUCUAGAAGUUUGGCAACGAGUGCCGUUUACUUCCACUUUUCUUUCAUAUCCUCUCAGCAGCUCUCAAAGACAGAGGACAGCCCAGCACCACAUGAGCUAAACUCCCUUAUUCUUCGGCUCAAUGCCUGUAUCAACUAAAACGCUGUAUGUUCAACUGACGUUGAGGUUCAGUUAGGGCCAAACGGAGGGAGAGUGGCAGGGCAGAUCACUCAGCGCCUAAAAGGGGAAUUACCUUUGCCCAAACAAAAUCGUGAUUACAAUCAGUCACAUUACAUCACUUUAAAGAAUGGUUUUUUUUUUUUUUUUUGGUUAAAUUUGACUUUUUAUGUGGGCUUUUCCCUCUUUAUUGGAUGCGUGCCAUUAGGCAAGAGUAGAGGAAGGGGUUGGGAUGUCACAGGACAGGUUUUAUUAACCUGUAUCUUCCACAUGAAUACCACAGGUCAACACAAGAGAACAUCUACACUAUGGCUUAAAUAGAUUUUUUUUUUUUGAGUUCAGUUUUAUUAUGACCAUAAAGAAAAUUAAGGAAAUGUUGUUGCUUUGUGGUUGCUAAGGUCAUCAGUUGGGUUUU